GUUUUUUAUAAAAACGCCACAAAAAUUAUUUCACUUAAAAAAUGCGCGGUUUUAUCCCUACAUUUUCUCCCUCUGAAACGCCUAAUUUUUUCCUUUAGUAUCCUCAAAACACCCCCCAAUCUCACACCUCCAUUGCUCUUUUCAAUCAAGAAACUGAGAUGGCAGUCUUGAUUUGGCAUCAAAUUGCUUCAGUCUUGAUUUGGUUUCUAGUUAUACUCUGAGAUAGAAGAGAUGGCAAUGAACCAGACGGCAGCGUUGAAGGUGGGGUUGUGUCUAUUGGGCUUCUGCUAUUCGGCUACACGUUCAUCUCCCUCCACAACAAAAUUAAACAAAAUAGAUAUCUCAGAGUAUUCGGCUUUUGACCCAUUCAAGGAGAAAAAUGGUGUUUCGCUAAAAGCUCUAAUCUUCUGUAAUAAAUUCACAACUGUGUUUUCAAACUCUUCGUCAAUGGAUUCCUUCCCAAGAUCUUUGAAUCCCAACAAGCACCUCAGAGAACAAUUCGUGAGCAAUUUGCUUGGAUCUUCCAUGCUUGAAGUCUCCGCUCUUUUGAAUAAUGUAGCUCUUCUAAUGCUUUUGCGGCACACUUUCUGCUCUCAGAUAGUGAAUGAUACUUGUAGGAGUUUAAAGUCUUACCUAACCUCAGUAGCUUUGGAUUAUGUCUUCAUUGUUCUACCCACACUCUUAAUUUUCACUGUUCUAGCGGAGUGGGUAUACAUAUGCAUAAUUGGGUUAUUGUUCUUGCUGAUCUUCUUUACUGCAGUCAAAAGAACUUACUCUUUGCCUUACAUGGAAGGACCUAAUGCUUCAAGGGCAAGCAUAUCAUCUUAUAAGGUUGUUACGAUGUUCAUCACAUGCUUGUGUAUCUUGGCUGUUGACUUCAGAAUAUAUCCUAGAGAAUAUGCUAAGACAGAGACUUACAUGACUAGCUUGGGGUACGAAUGUCAUAAGCAGAAACAAGGAGGGAAUUUUUAGCUUAUUUGGAUUUUAACGUUGCUUAUAGACUGAUAUGUUGAAAGAAUUUCACGUAGAAUGUGCAACCUGGCUUAUGUUACUUGGGUGGUGGCUCAAAAUCUACAUGUUUUGCAAUUUCUUCUUCUUCUUCCUCUCUUUUUGAAAUUUCUUGAAACACAUUUAUCCAGGAUAGGAAGGAGAUGGCAUCAGUGCUUUAUACUUAUCCCAGCUGUGUCAAAGCACUUCCUCAGGGGGUAUGUUGGAAUUCACAGUUUGGGAUUCAGAAACUUGCUGCUG